rnacentral:rRNA from 1 species
GAUGAACGCUGGCGGCGUGCCUAAUACAUGCAAGUCGAGCGAACAGACGAGGAGCUUGCUCCGCGCACGUUAGCGGCGGACGGGUGAGUAACACGUGUAUAACCUACCUAUAAGACGGGGAUAACUACGGGAAACCGGAUCUAAUACCAGAUAAUAUAUUGAACCGCAGGGUGCAAUAGUGAGAUACGGUGUUGCGGGAACUAAUAGCGGGAUCCGCGCCGCAUUGGCUGGUUGGUAAGUUAACGGCUUACCAAGGCGACUAGGCGUGGCCGACCUGAGGGGGUGGUCGGCCACCCUGGAACGUGGCCACGCUCCUGACGCCUACGGGAGGCCGCAGUAGGGAACCGUCCGCAAUAGGCGGGAGCCUGACGGAGCGAGGCCGCGUGAGUGAUGAAGGUCUUCGGAUCGUAAAGCCCUGUUAUUAGUGAAGAACCACUUUGGCAGUAAAUAUGCCCGUAUUGACGGUACCUAAUCAGAAAGCCCCGGCUAACUACGUG